AACCGGAGCUAAUACCGGAUAAUAUUUUGAACCGCAUGGUUCAAAAGUGAAAGACGGUCUUGCUGUCACUUAUAGAUGGAUCCGCGCUGCAUUAGCUAGUUGGUAAGGUAACGGCUUACCAAGGCAACGAUGCAUAGCCGACCUGAGAGGGUGAUCGGCCACACUGGAACUGAGACACGGUCCAGACUCCUACGGGAGGCAGCAGUAGGGAAUCUUCCGCAAUGGGCGAAAGCCUGACGGAGCAACGCCGCGUGAGUGAUGAAGGUCUUCGGAUCGUAAAACUCUGUUAUUAGGGAAGAACAUAUGUGUAAGUAACUGUGCACAUCUUGACGGUACCUAAUCAGAAAGCCACGGCUAACUACGUGCCAGCAGCCGCGGUAAUACGUAGGUGGCAAGCGUUAUCCGGAAUUAUUGGGCGUAAAGCGCGCGUAGGCGGUUUUUUAAGUCUGAUGUGAAAGCCCACGGCUCAACCGUGGAGGGUCAUUGGAAACUGGAAAACUUGAGUGCAGAAGAGGAAAGUGGAAUUCCAUGUGUAGCGGUGAAAUGCGCAGAGAUAUGGAGGAACACCAGUGGCGAAGGCGACUUUCUGGUCUGUAACUGACGCUGAUGUGCGAAAGCGUGGGGAUCAAACAGGAUUAGAUACCCUGGUAGUCCACGCCGUAAACGAUGAGUGCUAAGUGUUAGGGGGUUUCCGCCCCUUAGUGCUGCAGCUAACGCAUUAAGCACUCCGCCUGGGGAGUACGACCGCAAGGUUGAAACUCAAAGGAAUUGACGGGGACCCGCACAAGCGGUGGAGCAUGUGGUUUAAUUCGAAGCAACGCGAAGAACCUUACCAAAUCUUGACAUCCUUUGACAACUCUAGAGAUAGAGCCUUCCCCUUCGGGGGACAAAGUGACAGGUGGUGCAUGGUUGUCGUCAGCUCGUGUCGUGAGAUGUUGGGUUAAGUCCCGCAACGAGCGCAACCCUUAAGCUUAGUUGCCAUCAUUAAGUUGGGCACUCUAAGUUGACUGCCGGUGACAAACCGGAGGAAGGUGGGGAUGACGUCAAAUCAUCAUGCCCCUUAUGAUUUGGGCUACACACGUGCUACAAUGGACAAUACAAAGGGCAGCGAAACCGCGAGGUCAAGCAAAUCCCAUAAAGUUGUUCUCAGUUCGGAUUGUAGUCUGCAACUCGACUACAUGAAGCUGGAAUCGCUAGUAAUCGUAGAUCAGCAUGCUACGGUGAAUACGUUCCCGGGUCUUGUACACACCGCCCGUCACACCACGAGAGUUUGUAACACCCGAAGCCGGUGGAGUAACCUUUUAGGAGCUAGCCGUCGAAGGUGGGACAAAUGAUUGGGGUGAAG
rnacentral:rRNA from 1 species